UAAAUAGUGAAUAACAAUUAGAAUGUUAGAUGGUAGUUGGAAUUUUGUUGGCCCAUAGAAAUUAGGUUUGCAACCCUAAUUUACCUCCCUUUAUAUUAUUAACAUAGCAAGGAGGUGGUGCCACACUUAGCAACACAUAUUCUUAAAUAAAAAAGGGGGCAACCCUAGAAAAAAGAAAAGAGAGAGGCAAGCUGAAGAAAGCAUCAUCGUCCCACAUGAGGGACGACAUUGUUCCUGCUGACCAACAAUGGCACCAC
rnacentral:lncRNA from 1 species